rnacentral:lncRNA from 1 species
ACAAACUCAUCACGAGUUGUGUCUAAUAAGUCAUCAGAGUUACUGUUUGACUUGACCCAGGAUACAGGAUUAUCACAUUACCAAGGGGGACCAACACUUUCUAUGGCAGGUAUGAGUGAAAGUUCAUUUUUAUCAAAACGUCCUUCUACUUCUGAAGUAAAUAAUGUUAAUCCAAAGAAGCCUAAACCCAGCGAAAGUGUUUCUGGAGCAAAUUCCUCAGCUGUAUUACCUUCAGUUAAAUCUCCUUCAGUGACUUCUUCCCAGGCUAUGCUAGCAAAAGGUACAAAUACCUCAUCAAAUCAGUCUAAAAAUGGAACACCUUUUCCAAGAGCUUGUCCAAAGUGCAACAUUCAUUUCAAUCUUUUGGAUCCUUUGAAAAAUCACAUGAAGGUAAAACUCUUUCAAAAUUUAAUUUGUAAAAAGUUUGCACAUUUCUAAAAAUACUGAUGAUUACAGUAAUUAAUGGUUUGUCCAGAAAUAAUCUCAUUGGUAUUUCCAUUUAAUUUAAAUAAAAAUUUACAUUCAUAAUGAUUAUAUAGAUUCUCAAAUUCCUUCUAAAUCCUCAAAUUUUAAAACUUAAAUUUGUAUAUAUUAUAAUGUAUGCUUAUUGUAUUUUAAUUUUAAAUAAAAAUAAUGUAUUAA